ensembl:rRNA 5S_rRNA 5S ribosomal RNA
GUCUAUGGCCAUGCCACCCUGAAUACGCUCGAUCUCGUCCGAUCUUGGAAGCUAAGCAGGGUCGGGCCUGGUUACUACUUGGAUGGGAGACUGCCUGGGAAUACCUGGUACUGUAGGCU